GAUGAACGCUGGCGGCGUGCCUAAUACAUGCAAGUCGAGCGAACAGAUAAGGAGCUUGCUCCUUUGACGUUAGCGGCGGACGGGUGAGUAACACGUGGGUAACCUACCUAUAAGACUGGAAUAACUCCGGGAAACCGGGGCUAAUGCCGGAUAACAUUUAGAACCGCAUGGUUCUAAAGUGAAAGAUGGUUUUGCUAUCACUUAUAGAUGGACCCGCGCCGUAUUAGCUAGUUGGUAAGGUAACGGCUUACCAAGGCAACGAUACGUAGCCGACCUGAGAGGGUGAUCGGCCACACUGGAGCUGAGACACGGUCCAGACUCCUACGGGAGGCAGCAGUAGGGAAUCUUCCGCAAUGGGCGAAAGCCUGACGGAGCAACGCCGCGUGAGUGAUGAAGGUCUUCGGAUCGUAAAACUCUGUUAUUAGGGAAGAACAAAUGUGUAAGUAACGGUGCACGUCUUGACGGGACCGAAUCAGAAAGCCACGGCUAACUACGU
rnacentral:rRNA from 1 species